GAUGAAGAACGUAGCGAAAUGCGAUACGUAAUGUGAAUUGCAGAAUUCAGUGAAUCAUCGAAUCUUUGAACGCAUAUUGCGCUCUCUGGUAUUCCGGAGAGCAUGCUUGUUUGAGUAUCAGUAAACACCUCAACUCCCCUUUCUUUUUUUGAAAUGGGAGCUGGACUUGAGUGAUCCCAACGCUUUUCUCACCGAAAAGUGGCGGGUUACUUGAAAUGCAGGUGCAGCUGGACUUUUCUCUGAGCUAAAAGCAUAUCUAUUUAGUCUGCCUAAAAAACAGAUUAUUACCUUUGCUGCAGCUAACAUAAAGGAGAUUAGUUCUUGUGCUGUCUGAUGCAGGAUUCACAGAGACAGCUUCGGCUGGCCUUUGUAAACUCGAUCUCAAAUCAAGUAAGACUACCCGCUGAACUUAAGCAUAUCAAUAAGCGGAGGA
rnacentral:misc_RNA from 1 species